UCCAUUGGUCGACUAUAAGAUUGGAUCAGUCCACAUUGUGACUUUAAAAAGGCAUAUAGAAAUAAAAGGUGUUCAGAUAAGUGUAAUAGGUUCAGUCGCAUGUAUUUCAUUAGAUAAAUUCUUCUUUUUUUAUGUCUGAUCUUUAUAACUUUGACUAUUGGGUAUGGAUAGCUGUAUGAAAACUAAACUGAAAUGAUUCUUUCUGAAUGUCUGAUAUGUAAUUCUUUUUUGCCUACAGAGUCCUAUGGGGAGUCCUAUGGUCCUAAAGACUGUCUUGGCUGGCGGAACCUGUCGAAGGCUCACUCUCUAAUGGAGCGCCCGAAUCAACUGAGGAUCUCAUCGUUGAAGUCAAGAGACAGUGUGGUCUUCAGGGCAGUUUCAGACUUCAGUUUAUGGAUUCCUUGUUUGGGAAUGAGUUUCUUAACCUUACCUCAGUUUCAGAAGUAGCAGACAAAGGGACUCUUAAAGCUAUUGACAUGUCAAAGCCCACCACAUGGACAUAAAAAAAGAGUAACAGAGAUGGUGAAACUGAAGAUGGAAAAGUCUUUUUCAUACAGAAGACGUGAAGUUGUUCGUGAUGCACCAAUGGUGGAGGCUUUCAUGGCAAGAUGGCCUGCUCUAUUUGACUUCCAUGAGAUCAACGCUGAGUUUAAGAGAAUUGCCACCAUCCACCCUCAAAGUUCCUGGCUCAGCUGGAUCUCCACUUGGGCAACCUGGUGAAGUUGGUCAACAGAAGAGGAGAGCUUGGACUAAUACCGAAAAAAAUUGUGGCACAAAUGGAUAAUGUAAGUGAUAAAGCCUCAACACUCACUUAACAUGAUCCUCUUUGGAUGAAACUUUAUAAUUGUGGAAGAUUUCAAAUGUUUUCCCAUGAUAAAUUCUCUCAUUUUGUAUUUUUACAUCUGCUUGUUUUUUUUAACCUUCACUUUGUCAACUUAUUAUUAAUUGCCAGUAAACCUAUUAUUAAUUUGUGUGCCUUUACUUUAAAAACAUUCAUGUAAAGUACACUAUUAAAACUUAAAUGAAGGAAGAGGGCUGAAUGAAGAUGCUAAUUACAUACAUUUCAUUUCAGUGUGAAGAUGUUGAUGCUGGACGUGUCAAGGAAGUGUGUAUCUACAUGGGUGAAGACCCUGGCAUGCUUAUCCGGGAGUAUGUGGGCAUGGAAGAACGUGCCAUCAAUGAGACUGUUGAAGACACCACUGUUCGAAUUUAUCUUCUUAAGGAGCAAGCUUCAGCAGAAGAACAAGAG